AUUGAACGCUGGCGGCAUGCCUUACACAUGCAAGUCGAACGGUAACAGGGAGCUUGCUCCGCUGACGAGUGGCGAACGGGUGAGUAAUAUAUCGGAACGUACCUUUGAGUGGGGGAUAACUAGUCGAAAGAUUAGCUAAUACCGCAUACGAUCUACGGAUGAAAGUGGGGGAUCGCAAGACCUCAUGCUCAUAGAGCGGCCGAUAUCUGAUUAGCUAGUUGGUGAGGUAAAGGCUCACCAAGGCUUCGAUCAGUAGCUGGUCUGAGAGGACGACCAGCCACACUGGGACUGAGACACGGCCCAGACUCCUACGGGAGGCAGCAGUGGGGAAUUUUGGACAAUGGGGGCAACCCUGAUCCAGCAAUGCCGCGUGAGUGAAGAAGGCCUUCGGGUUGUAAAGCUCUUUUGUCAGGGAAGAAACGGGAUGUCCUAAUACGGUGUCCUAAUGACGGUACCUGAAGAAUAAGCACCGGCUAACUACGUGC
rnacentral:rRNA from 1 species